UUUCUCCCAAGUUGAAGAGGAGGAAGAGGGAUAGCCGCUUCAGGAAGGAGACCGCUUUCCAUGAUGCGGAGCAGGAGGG